CCUACGGGUGGCAGCAGUGAGGAAUAUUGGUCAAUGGACGGAAGUCUGAACCAGCCAUGCCGCGUGCAGGAAGACGGCCCUAUGAGUUGUAAACUGCUUUUGUACAAGGGUAAACCUGAAUACGUGUAUUCAGCUGAAAGUACUGUACGAAUAAGGAUCGGCUAACUCCGUGCCAGAAGCCGCGGUAAUACGGAGGAUCCAAGCGUUAUCCGGAUUUAUUGGGUUUAACGGGUGCGUAGGCGGAUUGAUAAGUUAGAGGUGAAAUGUCCGAGCUUAACUCGGGAACUGCCUCUAAUACUGUUGAUCUGGAGAGUGGAUGCGGUAGGCGGAAUGUAUGGUGUAGCAGUGAAAUGCGUAGAGAUCAUACAGAACACCGGUUGCGAAGGCAGCUUACCAAACUAUAUCUGACGUUGAGGAACGAAAGCGUGGGGAGCAAACAGGAUUAGAUACCCCAGUAGUC
rnacentral:rRNA from 1 species